CUAGGUAUAUAGUGACAGUUUAAGAGUGUCGGUAUAACCUAAAAAGAGUGCUGCUAAUUUACCAAUACUUAUUUAAGCAUUUAGCAACCGUCGAAACUCUACCUUGUUGGCUGCGGUGGCGGAGGAGAAUGAGAGCGAAGGGCUUUUUGUCUAUGGUUUCAGUGGAUUGAGUGAGGGAAGAAGGGGAGAUGGUGAUCGAUUUUUUUUUUUUUCUUUUUUGUUUGUAAUCGGGG
rnacentral:lncRNA from 1 species